AGCAGUCGCCGCGGUAAUACGUAGGUGGCAAGCGUUGUCCGGAAUUAUUGGGCGUAAAGCGCGCGCAGGCGGAUAGGUCAGUCUGUCUUAAAAGUUCGGGGCUCAACCCCGUGAUGGGAUGGAAACUAGUAGGCUAGAGUAUCGGAGAGGAAAGCGGAAUUCCUAGUGUAGCGGUGAAAUGCGUAGAUAUUAGGAAGAACACCAGUGGCGAGGGCGGCUUUCUGGACGAAAACUGACGCUGAGGCGCGAAGGCCAGGGGAGCGAACGGGAUUAGAUACCCCCGUAGUCCCUGUCUCUUAUACC
rnacentral:rRNA from 1 species